UUUCCUUAUUGGCAGGUUGGGGGGGGGUGAGACAAGAACGAAGCAACGUCAGCAGUAGCUCAGAAUGGCAGCUGGGACAGUAUUAAUCCAGACACCACGCCCGCUACAUCUCUCCAGUCACCACACCACCACGCCACCACCGACCCCUCGAGUGUACGCAGCCCAGUGUCCGUCUGUGUCUUGUCGUGGGCGUGACGUUCAGCAGCGGCAGGAACAGCAACGGGAACCUUGAUCUGCGUCAGUUUUCGUGCGGCGGGGUGACGUGCCGCUGCUGUGAGGUUAUCGGACCACACCACAGCACAGCACAGCACAGCACAGAGGAAGGAGAGGCGUUGACGAUCCAAAGGCCUGACUCCACAGCGGUAAUGAGCCUCGUCUACCUUGCACUUAACGGACAAUGCUCACUACCAACACCUCUGCCUCCGCCACCGCCACUGCCGCCGUUGAGGGAGACUGGCUGGAUGAGUGGGUGAUAGAGGCGAGGCAGGUGUGGUGAGGCGGAGGAUUGGAGACGAGAACCUACAGAUGACGGCAGACACGGAAGAUUCCACUUACCAGUUGGUGAUCCGAAGCCGUGACUGCAGCGAUCCCGUGCGUCCUGCACCAUCAGGGAAGGACUCUCUCUGGCUUCGCACUGCGCCUACAUUGACCGUUGCCGCCGCUGCUACCGCUACUCGGAGGGGCACUGCCUCGCAUUGGGCCUUCACUGCCGUCCCGCUAAUACACGUGCCGCCGUCGCCACUACUGGCACUGAGGGACUUCGCCUCGCAGCGGCCUGGCAAACACCUGCUACACCACCACCACCACCACCACUAACUCCACCACCGGAGUCCAGAGAUUCAGCUUCGCAUAGCAGACAUCCUCCUAUUCAACGCUUGCUGCCACUACCACCUCAUUAUUGUGGUGUCACUGUACUUGAAGCUUGGAUCUGUUGUCACUACUGAAUAAUAGUGUAAAGAAAUCUU
rnacentral:misc_RNA from 1 species